UGAAGUCGGAGUUGCUAGUAAUCGCGGAUCAGAAUGCCGCGGUGAAUGCGUUCCCGGGUCUUGUACACACCGCCCGUCACACCAUGGAAGUUGGGGGCGCCCGAAGUUGGUCGAGGAAUAGAUUACCUAAGGCGAAACCAAUGACUGGGGUGAAGUCGUAACAAGGUAGC
rnacentral:rRNA from 1 species